AGCAGCCGCGGUAAUUCCAGCUCCAAUAGCGUAUAUUAAAGUUGUUGCAGUUAAAAAGCUCGUAGUUGAACUUCGGGGUUCACCCAUUGGUCAGGCUUAAUUGUCUGCACUGGUGAGAUGAGUCUCUACCUUCUGAGGAACUUUCAUGCCAUUUAUUUGGUGUGAUUGGAAAUCAGGACUGUUACUUUGAAAAAAUUAGAGUGUUUAAAGCAGGCUAACGUCUGAAUACAUUAGCAUGGAAUAAUGAAAUAGGACGGACUGAUUCUAUUUCGUUGGUUUCUAGGAUCACCGUAAUGAUUAAUAGGGAUAGUUGGGGGCAUUAGUAUUCAAUUGUCAGAGGUGAAAUUCUUGGAUUUAUUGAAGACUAACUACUGCGAAAGCAUUUGCCAAGGAUGUUUUCAUUAAUCAAGAACGAAAGUUAGGGGAUCGAAGACAAUCAGAUACCGUCGUAGUCUUAACCAUAAACUAUGCCGACUAGGGAUCGGACGAAGUUAAUUUUAUUAAUGACGCGUUCGGUACC
rnacentral:rRNA from 1 species